rnacentral:rRNA from 1 species
AGUAGCGGUGAAAUGCGUAGAUAUCUGGAGGAAUACCAAAGGCGAAGGCCGUCCCCUGGUCCGAUACUGACACUGAGGUACGAAAGCGUGGGGAGCAAACAGGAUUAGAUACCCUGAUAGUCCACGCCCUAAACGAUGUCGAUUAGCCAUUGGAAGGACCCCUUUUCCUUUCAGUGACGUAGCUAACGCGUUAAAUCGACCCCUGGGAAGUACGACCGCAAGGUUAAAACUCAAAGGAAAUUGACGGGGACCUGACAAGCGGUGAAUGAUGUGGAUUAAUUUCGAUGCUACGCGAAGAACCUUACCUACCUUUGACAUGGCCAAAGUUCUACCGAGAGGCGGAAGUACUCGUAAGAGGAUUGGCGCACAGGUGCUGCAUGGUUGUCGUCAGUUCGUGUCGUGAGAUGUUGGGUUCAGUCCCGCAACGAACGCAACCCUUAUCUUUAAUUGCUCCUAUUUUAACAGGCACUUUAAAGAAACUGCCAAUGAUAAGUUGGAGGAAGGUGGGGAUCACGUCAAGUCCGCAUGGCCUUUAUAGGUAGGGCUUCACACGUCAUACAAUGGUUAGAACAAAGAGCUGCAAAUUCGUAAGAAGGAGCCAAUCUCACAAACCUAACCUCAGUUCGAAUUGCGGUCUGCAACUCGAGCGCAUGAAGCCGGAAUCGCUAGUAAUCGUGGAUCAGAAUGCCA